AGACUGGGCAUAGCAAAGGGGAGAGGGAAAAAAUCCUUUUCAUUCUGUGUUUUUUUAAUCUUUUGCGAAACGUCGAAAGUGGUCGCCAUCUGUUUUACGCUGCACGAAGGUGACUGGUUGGCUGGCUGUUCCAUAACACUCUCAUUGGCCCUGGGACUCCUCUUCUACGUGACCACACCCCUUCCUUCACAUCCAAUCCCAACAUGGAACCACCCAAGGUGCAGCAGCCAGGCGAAGGAGGCCUCAAUGUCACCCUCACCAUCAGGCUUCUGAUGCACGGCAAGGAGGUUGGAAGCAUCAUUGGAAAGAAAGGAGAGACAGUGAAGAAGAUGCGUGAAGAGAGCGGUGCACGCAUCAACAUCUCUGAGGGAAACUGCCCAGAGCGGAUAGUUACCAUCACCGGACCCACAGAUGCCAUCUUCAAGGCCUUCGCCAUGAUCGCAUACAAGUUUGAAGAGGAUAUAAUCAACUCUAUGAGCAACAGUCCAGCCACCAGCAAGCCUCCUGUCACCCUGCGUCUGGUUGUCCCAGCCAGCCAAUGUGGCUCCCUUAUAGGGAAAGGAGGCUCCAAAAUCAAAGAAAUGAGAGAGUCCACAGGUGCUCAGGUACAGGUCGCAGGGGACAUGCUGCCCAACUCCACUGAACGAGCAGUCACCAUCUCAGGAGCCCCGGAAGCCAUUAUCCAGUGUGUCAAGCAGAUCUGUGUUGUCAUGCUAGAGUCCCCACCGAAAGGUGCCACUAUCCCCUACCGCCCCAAGCCUGCCUCCACCCCCGUCAUUUUUUCAGGUGGCCAGGUAAGAGCCGACCCGCUGGGGGCCUCCACUGCCAACCUCAGCCUCUUACUGCAGCACCAGCCACUGCCUGCGUACACCAUUCAGGGACAAUACGCCAUCCCUCACCCUGACCAGUUGACCAAGCUCCACCAGUUGGCUAUGCAGCAAACCCCCUUUAACCCCCUUGGACAGACCACCCCUGCCUUCCCCGGUACGUACCCACCUACACGAGAACCACCCUCUACCAAAUCUCCUUCUCUUUUUUUACCUGUAGAGACACACACACACACUUCCUCCUCUUUCUCUCUCUCUUCCUCUGUCUUUCUGUUCAUUCUCUUCCUGUCGUUCUUUGUGCUGCGCUUCCGAUGACAUGGCCACCUGGUGGUUGCUCUUGUUGACCUUUUAUUUGUAGUUUCUCAAAUAUUUGGUUCAUUUUCUUAAUCUGCUUUUGUAGCGCCUUGAAGAUUUUGGUCCUUCCGAGUUAGUUUUAUCUGGGUCGGCGGGUAAAUCUCCUCUGGUUUGAGAACCAACCCCCUUUCCAACAGAGAAGCAGAAGCCACAGGCUCCUCUCUCAAGACCUCUGCAGAAGCAUCUCCAAUCAGGGUUCCGACUAUAGGUCUCCAAAGCUAACUGUCGCUCACAGCGGACGCCACCCUCCGCGUGCAAAACUCUAUUUUAUGCCGUGUCCCCUCUCUCGGUCUCUCUCUCUCCCAUAUAGCAGGUCUGGAUGCCAGUAACCAGGCCAGUACUCAUGAACUCACCAUUCCCAAUGAUGCUGCAUAAUCGGGCGCCAGGGAACCAAAAUCAACGAGAUCCGUCAGAUGUCUGGGGCGCAGAUCAAAAUUGCUAACGCCAUGGAAGGGUCAUCGGAGCGCCAGAUCACCAUCACAGGAACCCCCGCCAACAUCAGCCUGGCCCAGUACCUCAUCAACGCAAGGUUCAGAGACGUGGCGGCCAUGUGGAAUGACCCAUCCUCCAUGACGACAUCCUAAGGACCCAGCCCGGCCGGCCUCCACUCCCUCUGCUCCGCUCCCUCCAGCUCCUGACCACUGAAGACAUGAUGUUCCUACCUAACUCCUGAUGAUGAUGCCCUCUAGACUAAUGAAUCUGGCUCUGAUAACAACUCCCUUGACCCUCCAGCUUACUACCAUGAUCGCUCUCUAAUAAGAGACCUGUUGCUUUCAGAGAAACUGAAAAAAUAAGUAAUGUCUUUGUUUUUGUUGAUUUUAGACCUUUAGACAAGUGUUGAAGCAUGUUGAACGUUCAUUAGGAUCAAAUUGUGUUAUUCUGAAUUCUCUCUCUAUCACUCUCUCUGCUAGUGUUACAAAAUAGGAUUUCAAUAUCAGUUUGAAAAAAAAUGUACAAAAAAAAAUGUAAAAGUGUAAAAACAUUGGAAAAAAAUGCUGUGAUGCUAUCGGCACAGUAUGGUGGGAUGUAGCCCAAUGAUUACUUUAUGAUGCUCUUUUGAAAAGAGGUCUUUUUUAGGUCAAUUUAAAUUGUUCUGUUUUUACCCCUAUUCGGAUCCUUAAAAUGAUCUGCUUACUAAUCCGAUCUCUACCCAUAACUUUUUGCUGCAUCACAUGACCUCUUUGAGCCAAUGGUAUCACUCCUAGAACCCUCCUUUCUAUGUCCAUUUCUUGUAUUUUACAUUAUGACUUAUACUGCAUGUGUUCAGUAAUGUAUUGUAUGUAUUUGAGUAUUCCAGUUUGGUGUAAGUGUUCCUAUGGUGUUGCUAUGUUAUUGCUGGUGGGAGGAGCUAUUGGAGGAUGGGCUCAUUGUAAUGGCUGGAAUGGAAUUAAUGGAACUGAGUCAAGCAUGUGGUUUCCGUAUGUUUGAUGUGUUUGAUACCGUUCCAUGUAUUCUAUUCCAGCCAUUACAAUGAGCCCGUCCUCCUAUAACUCCUCCCACCAGCCUCCACUGCUCCAAACCUUUUCCGCAAUUAUUUUCAUGAGUUUUUUUUGCCAUUCACGUCUAGUCCUACUACCACCCCAAAUGAAUAACUCUCCCUCACAUCCUCCAGGAACCCUAUUUAUAGUAUUUAAGAAGCAUGAAAGGAAAUUACUCAAGAAAAGAAUCAUCAGUGGCUAAAAACUGUAUCCUAACUGACUGAAAACUAAAAUGAUUGUUUACUCGAUUUCUUAACCAAGACUACUGUGGGUGACCACAUAGUCAGCUAUGCUACGCUCAUGCAAUAGACAAUUCAACUCUUCAUUAUACUGUGGACUGCCUCUAGUGUGUGAGGAAUUAGUUGGACUUAAGACUAUUGCUGUGUCCAAAUUCUCUUAGUUAGCUUCCUUUCGUCGUCUCCUUCACUCCCAUGUCCACGACAGAUAAAAGAGGCUUCAAUGUACUACUCUUGAAGGAAAGGAGACCAGGAGAGGAAGCUGUUUGAUAUUAUUGGGACGUGGCCAUAGGUGUUUGGAUGGAGCCAAAUGUUUAUGGGCCAUGGAAUGUUCCGGGGUUCAUGGGGGAACCCGUGGGGCCUGGGCGGACGUGUUUACCCCCACGCCGCCACAUUCGAUUGUUCAUCCAUCAUGUUAGUUUAUUAUAAUAUUGUUUAUUUGCUUUAGGUUUUGAAUGUCAUUAUGCUUUUACGAUGAUGUCAACGGAUUAGAUUACAAAGUCAUGUUGCUCGUUUUAAGUGAUGAUUUAAAAAACAAAUUGCAAUUCUAUUUAUUGUUUCUUGGUGCAUUAUAAUGACUGUUUUGGUUGAUCAUGAUAUUUAAGAUAGGUUUUUUUUGUGUGUAUUGUAUUGGAUUUCAGGGGAGGUUUGGGCUAUAUUUGUUUGGAUUAAACAUGGCAAAUUCCCUUCAUAACAAUUCUCAAGCUUAUUCAAAGUAUAGGCGGUUGUGACAUGGCAUGUUUGCAAGCCUGGGCUGAGGUCAUAUUCAGCAUUGAUGCAUAUGAACAGCCGUUGAAUGUUAUCCUCUCAACACAGGUCAUUCAUUCACUGUCCAACUGGUUUCAACUACAGUAAAAACCAUCCUGGUCUGGAUUUUCAUUCUGUAAGACUGGUUUGUUUCAUGUAACUCCCUGUUUUGGUUUCAAUAUGCUGAGCCUGACUUUGGGUCUAAUUUCAACCGCUUUCAUCAUAUAAACGUGAUAUGUCAAUGGACCAAAUGCUGUACUGAUGUACUGAACGAUGCAUAGUUGAUUAUUAUUCUGCAAUAAUUCUUACAUUUUGAUGUUAAACUUAAGUAGUAGUGCUAGCCUUGACAUUAUGGGUUUGUGUUAUUCAUUUAAUUUAAACAUUUGUCAUAGCUUGUAAUUCAAUGGAAUGUUUGUCAUUUAAGCAAGUUAAAAUAUCUGUUUUUUUUGGCAAGCUCGCUUUUUAGAACUGUUCAGCUUCUCAUCAUCGAUUGCAUUCAGACUAGGCAGGAAUAUUGAAUUGUUGAAAUAGUGAUACCAAUGUGAUUUCAAUAACUUCAAUAUCCAUAUGUUGUUACAGUGUAUUGAAACUGUAUUUACACUGGCGUAUAUGACUGAGUAUACACACCUACUGAAACAGACUAAAAUGCAACUGAUGCAAUAACAAGGGAAUGAUGUGCAAUUAUUAUUUGUAUUUUUUCUUGUGCAUAUAAUACAAGGAAAGUUUGUCAUGUAUUUACAACUCAUUGUUGCUCCUUGACCUCCUUCCUUUCUGGACGGCGGCAGCAACAAAAAUUGAAAAAAUACACGAGAUAUUUUUUUUCAGCUUUUGCUCCUGUAUAUUUUGCUUAUUUAGGAAAAUGUAACGGAGCUUGGUAUAUAUUUUCAGUUGGAUUAUUUGCAACGAGCAAAUCUAUCUUAGGUUGAAGUAAUUUCAUUAUUUAGGUUACUUUUUAAAAUGUUUGUAAGUAAGAAAAUGAAUAAAGUUUUUCUUCUUGUGAACCUAG